CUUUCUUUCUCUCUUCUUUUUUCACAUUACAUUAACAUAAUGAAACAUGUGUUUCUUUAAACUUGAGCCACAACUGGGAAAGCAAGCCACCUAAUACAUUACUGUAAAAGAAACUAAAGUUAUAUUUAUGCAAUAAACAACAUGAUCCUCCCUUCCUAAAUCAGAUUCAAUCCUCCAAAUCCAGACAGGCCGCAACUUUUCUACACACAUUCCUGCACUCUAAUCUCAAGACACAAUCAUGAUUAGCGAGAUCCCAAUGUCUAAUUACAUAAAUCAAAUCUUAUUUUAGAGUUGGCAUAUUACUUGAAAUUGAUGUGUGAGAAUGCAAAGA
rnacentral:lncRNA from 1 species